CCCUUAGAUGUUCUGGGCGGCCCGCGCACUACAUUGGCACUGGCAACAAGAUCCUAGAUCUGGUAUUUCGGGGUAUUCUACCAACUGGUGUCGUGACUGGGAUUAACCCCUCCAAUUAUUGGUUAUGAACGAGGAAUUCCUUGUAAUCACGGUUUAUCAACCCGUGUUGAAUGCGUCCCUGCCCUUUGUACACACCGCCCGUCGCUCCUACCGAUGAAUCGUCCGGUGAAGUUCAUGGAGUCGCGGCUGCUCCAGCUGUUUUCGAAGUGAAAUGGACCUCAUGAUUUAGAGGAAGGAGAAGUCGUAACA
rnacentral:rRNA from 1 species